rnacentral:rRNA from 1 species
UGGGGAAUUUUCCGCAAUGGGCGAAAGCCUGACGGAGCAAUACCGCGUGAGGGAAGACUGCCUAUGGGUUGUAAACCUCUUUUUUCAGGGAGGAAUAAAAUGACGUGUACCUGAAGAAUAAGCAUCGGCUAACUCCGUGCCAGCAGCCGCGGUAAGACGGAGGAUGCAAGUGUUAUCCGGAAUCACUGGGCGUAAAGCGUCUGUAGGUGGUUUAAUAAGUCAACUGUUAAAUCUUGAGGCUCAACUUCAAAAUCGCAGUCGAAACUAUUAGACUAGAGUAUAGUAGAGGUAAAGGGAAUUUCCAGUGGAGCGGUGAAAUGCGUAGAUAUUGGAAAGAACACCGAUGGCGAAAGCACUUUACUGGGCUAUUACUAACACUCAGAGACGAAAGCUAGGGUAGCAAAUGGGAUUAGAUACCCCAGUAGUCCUAGCCGUAAACUAUGGAUACUAGAUGUUGAACAGAUCGACCUGUGCAGUAUCAAAGCUAACGCGUUAAGNUCCCGCCUG